ensembl:lincRNA predicted gene, 17638
CGUCAUGACGCCAUCAUGUUCACAGCGGACAAUAAGGUCAAUGUCAUCUCCAAGCUUCCACCUGCGGUAACUACAAGGACAGCAAGACUCACUCACUACAAGACCCACUGCUGUGGAUGGACCACCCCAGACAGCACAGGACAGGGUCACCUGUCCCCCAGAGGUGACUUACCGUAAAUGGGAAGAGGAGGAAGAGGAAGAGGAGAAAUAGGAGGAGGAAAAGUCCUAUGCAUAUAAUACACAGCCACAGUGCUGGUGUGAGGACUCAGAGCUGAAGUGGUGUCUUUGCUUGGAUUCUAAGAGGACGGGAGGGAUCAACACACUGCUCAUUCUUAAGAACUGACAACACCCAUACCUACCAAAGUCAGAGUUGUCCCUCUUGUCAAAGAAGAGUUUAGAGCCGACUCUCUGGACAACGAUGUCCCAGGAGUACACGGAGCGGGUACAGCUCAUCAGUGUGGCCAGGAUGGCGUCAGUGGCAAACACAUUGCCCUGUGUUUUUGCCAGCUGAAAGCAGGGAGAGACAAGAGAGUGAACUGAGGACGCUGAGGUCACUUGGGAAGGAGGACAUGCCUAGUCAGUCAUGGAGGCUGCAGCAAGUGGGCUGGGCUAUCACUGUAGCAGGCCGUGGGAAGCACGGCCCUUGCUCCACUCACUGGUUUCCAGCCACGCCACCCCUCUACCUUUGUAGGUAAGAGAGCUAAGGCUGCAGGGCAGCAAAGUCAGGCUGGCAGAGCUGGGAUCUGAGCAUAUUGAGUAUAUCGACUUCCAUCAAACUCUAAGUGUGAUUCGGAAGAACCGCAUCAAGGGCUGGGCUAUGCAGUCAGCCGUUUCCGUGGGGUCUCAGCACUCAAUCCAAGUGUUCAGGGGAGAAAAGGUGCCUGACAAGCAGGCACACCUUCUCUUUGUCAGGUUCCUCAAACAAUAGUGUAACAACUGCUUAUGUAGUAGCAUCCCAUGUCUUAGGUGUGGUGACCAAUCCAGAAGGAGCUGAAGCAUGGACGAUUGCUAGGACUGACAGGUAAGUCACAUCACCAGUACUAGAGCACCCAUGGCUUUUGGUAUCCAUGGGGUGGUCCUCAAUCAGACCCCAUGAACACUGAGGCACACCUGCACAUCUCAUGCCCCGUUCUUCCUGAGGCCUCAGCAACAUUCCCAAAGGUGGGCAAAGGGUGCACACCUUUCGGAUGACAGGGUCGUCUGUGGUGGUGACGGUGUGAAAGAUGCGCUUGAUGCUCCGCAGGGGCUUCUCACUCCUUGUGGUGAUGCGGUCAAAGGCUUUGUCGUAGUACUCCAGGGCUCCGCAGCACUCGCUGGGGAAAGAGGGGAAAAUCAGAGAUCCCCCUUCCUCUUUUAUGCCUGGCACUGCAGGGUGCAUGUCUACAAUCCCAGGAUUAGGGAGGCAGAUGAGGGUCCAUCUCAGAAAGUUCAGUAUAUAUGAAAAAGGGACACAUCUUUAGUGCUAGUUUAGUUUCCUGUCUUCACAGCUCCCAAUGUUCCUCUGUAGAACACAGGGAAGGACCUAACACAGUGAACCCUCCCUGGGAAACAGCCCACUAUAGAGGCGCCCAGGUGGACUUGUGGGUUGAAGCUCUGGCUCCCCACUAACUUAGCUCCAGGUCCUUGUCCUCUGGCUGCACAAAACGGAGUCUCCUGAACGACUGUCAUGCCUCUCCUGCCCCAAGAGCUUAGUGACUGAACUACUGUGCUUUUUCUCGGAUGCCAAGAGUGGAAAGAAACUGGGAAACGAUACAUUUUUUAAAGUGGGUCUUGACCUUUCAAAAACAUAGUCCAUAGCACUGUAAGUGGCUUCAAAUCUGCUUUGGAGUUGCUAGGACUUAAGGAGACAUGGAUACCCGGCAGGCAGACAUACUCUGGAACCAGUGUGGGCACCAGUGAAGAAGCUACUCACAUGUCUUGAGGCUCUGACACUUCCAAGUAGCGCAUCUUCAUCAGCUGAGGGAAGUCCAUCUCCUCCUUCACCUCCCAGUCACUGCGAACUUCAACUGAGGAGUCUCGGGGUUUCUGCAGAGGAAACACAGAGGAAGAUCUUUAUAUCCUACACAAAUAGCAAAAGACAGAGCUUUAAGUUUAUUUUUGUUUAUUGUAUUUAUUUGAUGUCUGGGUGCUCUGCUGCAUGUACACCUGCAGGCCAGAUGAGGGCAUCAGAUCCCCUUAUAGAUGGUCAUAAACCACCACAUGCGUGUUGGGAAUUGAACUCAGGACCUCUGGAAGAGCAGCCAAUGCUCUGAAAAGCUGAGUCAUCUCUCCCACCUGGUCCUGGCUGUUUUUAAGCAGGGUCUGUGACUCGUGGCAGCUGAGAGAAGGAAACAGGGCCUCAGCGUGGAGCUUCUGUGGGUGUCAAGCACAUGCCUCUGACACAAGCAGCAGCUAACUCAAAGUGCACCGUCAAGAUUUUAUCACCCCUACAACAAUCGGGAGUGAAGCCGCGUUUCUGUGCUGGAAAAGCAGCUGAUUUGCUGUUGGCAAUACUCCUAGCCCAAACUCCACUUCUGCUCAUGUCUGUUAUAAUCACAGCUCCCACAAAGAUGGCAGUGUUAUUCCUAGUGCCAAAGUGGAAAGAUGAAUCCACACAAAGAACCACCAUUGGGCAAAAAGACAGUACAGCCGACUCCAAGUCUGCGAGCUUUACACCAGCAGGUCUGUACCCAGUCAUAUGUAAACUGAAAAUCCUUGGAUGCUCAGCAUGCUGGAAAUCCCACCCACCGGGUGGCUGACAGAGGAGGAGCACCUGAGAUUUAAAUGAUACUUUCAACCCAAAUACAGAAUCCAGAGGCAAGCUAAAGCCCACGAGGGAUGCACAUAGAUACAUGCAGAGAAGGUCAGUGCGCACAAAUCUUGACCUCUGAGGGUACCUGGAACCAGUCCUUAACAGACAUGAAGGAAAAGUGAAAAGACUGACCAACACGGGCUGCGAUAUGGACAGACCUUAAAGCGGCAUGCUAAAUAAAGGGCAAAGUACAACUCCAUCUUACAUGAAAUGCCCGAAGGCACCAGGGAAAUCCAGAGACAUCUCUCAAGGUAAAAGAAAACAAAUCCAUCUAAGUCCCAGCAGAGUCCCAGUAUGGACACACUACCUGUGACUUCUGGUCCCAUUUUUGCCUCACUCCAAAUUGCUUCUGGAAUUUUUUCUGCAAGCGAAUUCGUUCUCUGAAAAGACAGACAACAGAGUGCUGUGCGUUCAGUGUAGGCUUCUAGAUGAAUCGCAGCCUCCUUCCUGGCUGCUACCAGGAUAGAACAUGGGGGCUUAGAUGCAGACACCACGUAGGCACACCCUGGGACGUGAGCAGAGGCGCACUACUAGCAUUCGGCCCAGUCACUCCACAGCCCUAGCUAGGGUGUGGUGGCUGCUGUGCCCAGCCCCAAGGGCCCACAGGACACAGCAUAAGUGGUGCUGCCUGGAACCAGGCAUCCAGAAUCUAGAGGCCACAGAGCCACCUCCUGUCUGUCUGUCUGCCAUUGUCCAGUCUUGGACAGCAAUAGGCGAGGAGAUUUUGGUUUCUUUUGCAAUAGUGAAAGACAGCCAGCCCCUGCCCUGGCUCUGUGAUUUUUGAACACAGCCCAUUUGGGAACAUGACUGACUUGGCAGGAAGGGACACUCACCUCUCUUUCUGCUUGGCACUCUUGGGCAGUGUCUGUAGGUUGAACUGCACCAUGUUCCUCCGAUCUUUGUCUCUGCGGAGGUUGCGCUGGGGAGCAGGAAGAGACCCAUGUUAACCCCCUCAGAGACAAGGCUCAUGGUAUCUUGAGAGUUAAGUCCUACGUGUCACAUCUCGACUUUUACUCUACAGCGGCUACAGAAUUUGGGCCAAGGGGAGAAGCGCUUGUGUUAGCUUGGACUCUCCCACUUCAAGGUGGGUUUCUAGUUUUAUUGGAGUUGCUAAGUUUGUAACAAUAAGUAGCAGGAGGCACCCUACCAAACCAUCUAAUUAGCAAAUGUUGUACAUGACAAUUUAGCAAGGCACUGGGUUCCCAGCACAGUUGUGUGAUGUCUGAACUACUGUGAACAAAAUUCUAAACUCCUUCAAUG